rnacentral:rRNA from 1 species
GACGAACGCUGGCGGCGUGCCUAAUACAUGCAAGUCGAACGCAGUGGGGACGGGUGAGUAACACGUGGGUAACCUCCCAUCAGAGGGGAUAACACUUGGAAACAGGUGCUAAACCGAUACUGAUGGAUGAACCCGCGGUGCAUUAGCUAGUUGGUGAGGUAACGGCUCACCAAGGCCACGAUGCAUAGCCGACCUGAUAGGGGAAUCGGCCACACUGGAACGGUGACACGGUCCAGAUUCUGGCGGGAGGCAUCAGGAGGGAAUCUUCCGCAAUGGGCGAAAGCCGUACGGAGCAACGCCGCGUGAGGGAUGAAGGUCUUCGGAUCGUAAAACUCUGUUGUUAGAGAAGCGGUAUCUAACCAGAAAGCCACGGCUAACUACGUGCCAGCAGCCGCGGUAAUUC